UAGGUGUCCUAAAGGGUAGUUGAUGC
rnacentral:piRNA from 1 species